UGCCUUUGUGUUACCCAUUCAUUUUUAAAGUGGUGAAUGUGGCGUCAAACAAGGCAUACAGAAAAUCCCUCUUGGCUACCCACGUUGCUUUUGGUAUACAUGUCAUAUACUGUGGGCUUGGUUGCAUGGGGACAGUC